rnacentral:rRNA from 1 species
AUUGAACGCUGGCGGCAUGCCUUACACAUGCAAGUCGAACGGCAGCACGGACUUCGGUCUGGUGGCGAGUGGCGAACGGGUGAGUAAUAUAUCGGAACGUACCUUUCAGUGGGGGAUAACGUAGCGAAAGUUACGCUAAUACCGCAUAUUCUGUGAGCAGGAAAGCAGGGGAUCGCAAGACCUCGCGCUGAUUGAGCGGCCGAUAUCAGAUUAGCUAGUUGGUGAGGUAAAGGCUCACCAAGGCGACGAUCUGUAGCGGGUCUGAGAGGAUGAUCCGCCACACUGGAACUGAGACACGGUCCAGACUCCUACGGGAGGCAGCAGUGGGGAAUUUUGGACAAUGGGGGCAACCCUGAUCCAGCCAUGCCGCGUGAGUGAAGAAGGCCUUCGGGUUGUAAAGCUCUUUCGGCCGGGAAGAAAUCGUGUGGGCUAAUACCCCAUAUGGAUGACGGUACCGGAAUAAGAAGCACCGGCUAACUACGUGCCAGCCGCCGCAGUAAUAC